UCAGUGACAUUAAAACAGGAAUUGUCAUCACCAAUAGACGAAUUUCACAUUCCUAAGAGUUUUCUCCAAUUGUCGGCGUAUCGCUCAUUUUUCCCACUUUGUCCUUUGUCCUGUUCUGUGGAUGCCCUGACAGUGUCUAUCCAUCACUCCAUCUGAUAUCACUUGUUCUGAACAUAUUUCUCUCUCAAACUUAAACUACAGAGAGCCUGUGGAUAGAGGAUGAAGAGUGACCUUGCAUUAAUUUUCUAGGUCAAAGAUCAUAGGUGAUGUGAAGAAAACCAGGAAACUGAUGUUAAAAGAAGUACUUAAUGACCCUUAUGAAUGGACUUAAAUGUGAAAGACUGUUCCAUUGUUUA